rnacentral:rRNA from 1 species
AACGAACGCUGGCGGCAGGCCUAACACAUGCAAGUCGAGCGAGGACUUCGGUCCUAGCGGCGGACGGGUGAGUAACGCGUGGGAACGUGCCCUUUGCUUCGGAAUAGCCCCGGGAAACUGGGAGUAAUACCGGAUAAGCCCUACGGGGGAAAGAUUUAUCGGCAAAGGAUCGGCCCGCGUUGGAUUAGGUAGUUGGUGGGGUAAUGGCCUACCUAGCCGACGAUCCAUAGCUGGUUUGAGAGGAUGAUCAGCCACACUGGGACUGAGACACGGCCCAGACUCCUACGGGAGGCAGCAGUGGGGAAUCUUAGACAAUGGGGGAAACCCUGAUCUAGCCGUGCCGCGUGAUCGAUGAAGGCCUUAGGGUUGUAAAGAUCUUUCAGUGGGGAAGAUAAUGACUGUACCCACAGAAGAAGCCCCGGCUAACUCCGUGCCAGCAGCCGCCGUAAAAC